AGUGAACGCUGGCGGUAGGCCUAACACAUGCAAGUCGAACGGCAGCACAGUAAGAGCUUGCUCUUACGGGUGGCGAGUGGCGGACGGGUGAGGAAUACAUCGGAAUCUACUUUUUCGUGGGGGAUAACGUAGGGAAACUUACUCUAAUACCGCAUACGACCUACGGGUGAAAGCAGGGGAUCUUCGGACCUUGCGCGAUUGAAUGAGCCGAUGUCGGAUUAGCUAGUUGGCGGGGUAAAGGCCCACCAAGGCGACGAUCCGUAGCUGGUCUGAGAGGAUGAUCAGCCACACUGGAACUGAGACACGGUCCAGACUCCUACGGGAGGCAGCAGUGGGGAAUAUUGGACAAUGGGCGCAAGCCUGAUCCAGCCAUACCGCGUGGGUGAAGAAGGCCUUCGGGUUGUAAAGCCCUUUUGUUGGGAAAGAAAGGCAGCAGGUUAAUACCCCGCUGUUCUGACGGUACCCAAAGAAUAAGCACCGGCUAACUUCGUG
rnacentral:rRNA from 1 species